rnacentral:lncRNA from 1 species
UUUUUUUUUUUUUUUUCUUUCAGAUUUCUGUGACAUGGUUUCCCAAUCCCUAUCCACAGGUUCCUUAAUUUAUUGCCCAAAUGGAAAACAAGAAAAAGACAAUUUUCUGUUCUGUUCGCGUGGAACCCCUAUUCUAGGGAGACAAUAAUUGGUACAAAAGAAGGCUUGUGGGGUGGGUGGGGAUAACCAAACUAAAUGUCAUGGAGAAGGUUGACACUUGAGCCAUGAAACCAGCCAGGGAGCCAAGCAAGCCAUAUGGAAAGUGCUACAGUCCAAGAAACUGCAGGGCACCAUACUGGAAGCAUUCGAGGGAUGUGCGACAGCAGUGAGAUCAGCAUGGCUGAAGCAGGGAGAGGAGUAGAGAACCAGAUGGAGGGAAGUGUAAAGGACAGAUUAUGAGGAGGAUAAAAUGAGCCCUUGGAGGUAACCGCAUGCCAGCAGGAGCCAGACCACCAAACAGCGAAAGUGUGUGAAGUUCCACUGAACAACAUUCAGGCACGUGUGGCAGGCAUAGCCUCCAAGGCCCUGGGGACUGCUGAGGGACUUUCCUGCUGCUGCCAGGUUCUGAGCUGUGGCAGUGCCUCACCCAGAAUCAGGGUACACAAGUCGUGGCCUGGUGUAAUGCCUUCUAAUCUUUGGGAAAGCUCCCAGUGGAGUGUUCCAACUGUGCUGACGAUGUUCCCACUGGCAGGCAUAGCUCAGCAAGCACAUGCCACCUUCAGGGAAGGUGGGUAAGCCACUAACCCUUUACUGACAGCAAAACCAGAGAAAACUGGGCUCUAAUUUCCCAGAUCUGUAAAGGGAAGACCAAAUGGUCCCCAGGCCCCUUUUUGCCUGCUCUCCCAAUAAAUGUCCAACACAUACUUUUUUGCUAAAUACUGAGCUUGGCAGACACAGAGCUUCAUCUGACAAAGGUCACAUGUUCAUGGACAUCUGGGAAAAGCUUGGUUUUUGAAGGUAGAGGGUUUAUGUUUUCUUGAGACUGAUUAAGGACAUAAGUUGGCAAGUAUUUGUUAACUGAACGAGGCCAGCAAUUAAGGAAAUACACAAGUCUCUACAAGGCAAACCAAAUCCCUGCCCUGAGACCCAAUGGCUGGCUGCUCUACAGAUAAGGAACACUAGUCUUCAAGAAUCAAGAAGAGGAAAAUAAAAACACAAACAAACAAAAACUCAAAGCAAGCAUGCAGGUUUCCAGCUAAGAGGCAGCAUCACCAUGCUAUCUGCAUCUCUGCAGACCUGAGACAAGUGGGUUUGUCGGGCACCAUCUUACUAGAGUGCUCCCACAGUCUCCAGGCAGAGCAAAUCUUCUGUCAAAGGCCCAGAUCCGGUUAAGGCAUUAUUCUCAAUGGCAAUAAACUGAAGCCUGCAGACUGCUUGUCACUAGGACAAAGCCUAGAGGCACAAGCAGGGCCUUCCUACCUCAAGUCCAGAAUUAAGGGCAUAUCUUUAUUUAGAAGUCUCCGGUGCCCCCCAGAGACUUGAAUCUUUUUCUAGGGAACCAAUUCCAUAUGAAAACUUCAAUAAAAUGAUGCCUGGAUUC